GUGGGGAAUAUUGGGCAAUGGGCGAAAGCCUGACCCAGCAACGCCGCGUGAAGGAAGAAGGUCUUCGGAUCGUAAACUUCUAUCCUUGGUGAAGAUAAUGACGGUAGCCGAGAAGGAAGCCCCGGCUAACUACGUGCCAGCAGCCGCGGUAAUACGUAGGGGGCAAGCGUUGUCCGGAAUGAUUGGGCGUAAAGGGCGCGUAGGCGGCCUGGUAAGUCUGGAGUGAAAGUCCUGCUUUUAAGGUGGGAAUUGCUUUGGAUACUGUCGGGCUUGAGUGCAGGAGAGGUAAGUGGAAUUCCAGGUGUAGCGGUGAAAUGCGUAGAGAUCGGGAGGAACACCAGUGGCGAAGGCGACUUACUGGACUGUAACUGACGCUGAGGCGCGAAAGUGUGGGGAGCAAACAGGAUUAGAUACCCCGGUAGUCC
rnacentral:rRNA from 1 species